rnacentral:rRNA from 1 species
AUUGAACGCUGGCGGUAGGCCUAACACAUGCAAGUCGAGCGGAUGAGGGUAGCUUGCUACCUGAUUCAGCGGCGGACGGGUGAGUAAUGCCUAGGAAUCUGCCUGGUAGUGGGGGACAACGUUUCGAAAGGAACGCUAAUACCGCAUACGUCCUACGGGAGAAAGUGGGGGAUCUUCGGACCUCACGCUAUCAGAUGAGCCUAGGUCGGAUUAGCUAGUUGGUGGGGUAAAGGCUCACCAAGGCGACGAUCCGUAACUGGUCUGAGAGGAUGAUCAGUCACACUGGAACUGAGACACGGUCCAGACUCCUACGGGAGGCAGCAGUGGGGAAUAUUGGACAAUGGGCGCAAGCCUGAUCCAGCCAUGCCGCGUGUGUGAAGAAGGUCUUCGGAUUGUAAAGCACUUUAAGUUGGGAGGAAGGGCAGUAAGUUAAUACCUUGCCGUUUUGACGUUACCGACAGAAUAAGCACCGGCUAACUCUGUGCCAGCAGCCGAC